rnacentral:lncRNA from 1 species
GGUGCCGGUUGAACGAAAGCCUUCGGAGGAGUUAGCGAAAUUCCAAUGUGUGCGGAUCGGCAAAAAAUGCGCAAUAACCCUUUAACCGUACAUUUGACAGAUACGCCCGCACUGACUUUUUUGUAGAUCUUAUUGAGAUACAUGUGUGUGUCAAUUUUUGUGUCAUUUUGACAAAGCGUACAGGCGUCAGGUGAAUUUUUCACCUUAGGGGGCGCUAUGGAGCCAUUUUGCAUUGUAUUGUUUGGGCGACUUCAGAAUAUCAAAUUUUUCACCAGGCCCGGUCGUCCUGCCAAAUUUCAUGAGUUUUCGCCAGUGAGAAGUGGGCCAUUUUCCAGUUCAAAGGGGAGGAAAAAUAAUAACUAGGACCCCGUUGGGGCACUGGCGGGCCCGAGCCGUGUCGCGUCCCCCCCCCCCCCCCCCAACGUGCUGCCUUCCCGUCCCAUUUGUGUCCUCUGGCCAUCGCCCUCUCUGGUAACGCCCAUCACUGCAAAGACCCUUUUCCUUCAUCUGCGUUUGCUGUUCUUCCUGCCAGUGUGUGUUGCUUUCACUUACACUUGCCACAGCCAGCCUCGUGAGUGCCUAGCCUAUUGGAUAUCACUGUCACCUACACAGGACAGUCAUUACCUUUCUAUUAAUACUUUGUGUUUUAAUUUCACAUUAAUUUCCAUAUUGUAUAAACGACUGGAAAAAACUUGAGCCCCUGCCCCUGUAUAAUCAUGUGCAUGUCUCUGUUCUAGCUCCAAGGUGAAUCUUCACUGCUCAUGUUCUCCUCAGAAGCACUCACCUCACUCCCCUCAGGUUACUGUACACAUGCACCAACUGCCUGCUUCAGGUUUGGAUGGAGCUUCAUGGUUGUCUUUUAGAGAAAUGACCAGUCAAGUUGUGUUUGAAAUUUGAUUUUUUUCAGGGGCAAAAGGAGCCUCUGCAUUCUUGUCAAAUAUGUAAAUAGCAUGUUUUUGCAGGUGCUAAAAACCAGACUCUGAGUGUGUGUGUGUGUGUGUGUGUGUGUGCGUGUGUGUGUGUGUCUGUGUGUGCGUUCAAGUCACAUGACAUAUUUAACCGGAUGUAGCUGCAAGACGGAGCCUCGUUGACUCUCCGUUUCAACUUAUCUCAAAAGUGAGGACCUCAACCUAUAUACCAGUUUUUAAAUUGUGUUGAUAGGCCAAAUAAAACCAGAGUUAUGAUAAAUUAUGUCCGCGAUACUUUUUUUCUGCUUAUUUUGAUCACGUUCGGCGCUCGAUCGCGCUGUAUGAGACAGGAAAACAUAGCAUGCAGACAUUAGCGACAGGUCUUACAGGCGGAAAAGGCUUGCCAAAAGAAAAAAAAACACACCACAACAUCUCUCCUAUUGGUGGAAAACUUCACCACAACAACCAAUCCAAAAUUAUAUGGUGGCUGAUUGACAAGGGGCGGGCGCUUACGUUCUUCCUGCAACAUGAGAAGGGAGGGAGGGACUCUCAGCAGGGAUGCAGUCUGGGACACGUAGUUGCAAACCUAGCGACUUUGUUGUUAGAUUCAAUGACUUUUCAGACCCCCUAACGACUUUUUUUUAGAAAGAAAGGGACUUUUAUCGACUUCUUCUGGAGUUUAGAGACUCUGACAUGAAGCAGGCUUUCCUUACUGAGGAGUUAGCAACGCUGCUAAGGGUGCAGAGCCACACAUGCGCUCAGAGCUCUGCA